rnacentral:rRNA from 1 species
GGUGAGGUAACGGCUCACCUAGGCGACGAUACAUAGCCGACCUGAGAGGGUGAUCGGCCACACUGGGACUGAGACACGGCCCAGACUCCUACGGGAGGCAGCAGUAGGGAAUCUUCGGCAAUGGGGGCAACCCUGACCGAGCAACGCCGCGUGAGUGAAGAAGGUUUUCGGAUCGUAAAGCUCUGUUGUAAGUCAAGAACGAGUGUGAGAGUGGAAAGUUCACACUGUGACGGUAGCUUACCAGAAAGGGACGGCUAACUACGUGCCAGCAGCCGCGGUAAUACGUAGGUCCCGAGCGUUGUCCGGAUUUAUUGGGCGUAAAGCGAGCGCAGGCGGUUUGAUAAGUCUGAAGUUAAAGGCUGUGGCUCAACCAUAGUUCGCUUUGGAAACUGUCAAACUUGAGUGCAGAAGGGGAGAGUGGAAUUCCAUGUGUAGCGGUGAAAUGCGUAGAUAUAUGGAGGAACACCGGUGGCGAAAGCGGCUCUCUGGUCUGUAACUGACGCUGAGGCUCGAAAGCGUGGGGAGCGAACAGGAUUAGAUACCCUGGUAGUCCACGCCGUAAACGAUGAGUGCUAGGUGUUGGAUCCUUUCCGGGAUUCAGUGCCGCAGCUAACGCAUUAAGCACUCCGCCUGGGGAGUACGACCGCAAGGUUGAAACUCAAAGGAAUUGACGGGGGCCCGCACAAGCGGUGGAGCAUGUGGUUUAAUUCGAAGCAACGCGAAGAACCUUACCAGGUCUUGACAUCCCGAUGCUAUUUCUAGAGAUAGAAAGUUACUUCGGUACAUCGGUGACGGGUGGUGCAUGGUUGUCGUCAGCUCGUGUCGUGAGAUGUUGGGUUAAGUCCCGCAACGAGCGCAACCCCUAUUGUUAGUUGCCAUCAUUCAGUUGGGCACUCUAGCGAGACUGCCGGUAAUAAACCGGAGGAAGGUGGGGAUGACGUCAAACCAUCAUGCCCCUUAUGACCUGGGCUACACACGUGCUACAAUGGUUGGUACAACGAGUUGCGAGUCGGUGACGGCAAGCUAAUCUCUUAAAGCCAAUCUCAGUUCGGAUUGUAGGCUGCAACUCGCCUACAUGAAGUCGGAAUCGCUAGUAUCGCGGAUCAGCACGCCGCGGUGAAUACGUUCCCGGGCCUUGUACACACCGCCCGUCACACCACGAGAGUUUGUAACACCCGAAGUCGGUGAGGUAACCUUUUGGAGCCAGACGCCUAAGGUGGGAUAGAUGAUUGGGGUGAAGUCGUAACAAGGUA